rnacentral:rRNA from 1 species
GAUGAACGCUGGCGGCGUGCCUAAUACAUGCAAGUCGAGCGAACAGACGAGGAGCUUGCUCCUCUGACGUUAGCGGCGGACGGGUGAGUAACACGUGGAUAACCUACCUAUAAUACUGGGAUAACUUCGGGAAACCGGAGCUAAUACCGGAUAAUAUAUUGAACCGCAUGGUUCAAUAGUGAAAGACGGUUUUGCUGUCACUUAUAGAUGGAUCCGCGCCGCAUUAGCUAGUUGGUAAGGUAACGGCUUACCAAGGCAACGAUGCGUAGCCGACCUGAGAGGGUGAUCGGCCACACUGGAACUGAGACACGGUCAAGACUCCUACGGGAGGCAGCAGUAGGGAAUCUUCCGCAAUGGGCGAAAGCCUGACGGAGCAACGCCGCGUGAGUGAUGAAGGUCUUCGGAUCGUAAAACUCUGUUAUUAGGGAAGAACAAAUGUGUAAGUAACUAUGCACGUCUUGACGGUACCUACUCAGAAAGCCACGGCUAACUACGUG